rfam:Japanese encephalitis virus strain JEV/mosq/YN/2016, complete genome
AUGACUAAAAAACCAGGAGGGCCCGGAAAAAACCGGGCCAUCAAUAUG